rnacentral:rRNA from 1 species
UACGUAGGGUGCGAGCGUUAAUCGGAAUUACUGGGCGUAAAGCGUGCGCAGGCGGUUCGUUAAGUCAGCUGUGAAAGCCCCGGGCUCAACCUGGGAAUUGCGGUUGAAACUGGCGGACUAGAAUCUGGCAGAGGGGGGUGGAAUUCCACGUGUAGCAGUGAAAUGCGUAGAGAUGUGGAGGAACACCGAUGGCGAAGGCAGCCUUCUGGGCUAAUAUUGACGCUCAGGCACGAAAGCGUGGGGAGCAAACAGG